rnacentral:rRNA from 1 species
GACAGCAGCAGCCGCGGGAAUACGAAGGGUGCAAGCGUUAAUCGGAAUUACUGGGCGUAAAGCGCGCGUAGGUGGUUCAUUAAGUUGGAUGUGAAAGCCCUGGGCUCAGCCUGGGAACUGCAUCCAAAACUGGUGAGCUAGAGUACGGUAGAGGGUAGUGGAAUUUCCUGUGUAGCGGUGAAAUGCGUAGAUAUAGGAAGGAACACCAGUGGCGAAGGCGACUACCUGGACUGAUACUGACACUGAGGUGCGAAAGCGUGGGGAGCAAACAGGAUUAGAUACCCCUGUAGUCCCUGUCUCUUAUAC